GGGAGGCGGGCGUCGCCUCGCGCCUGAACGUGGCUAGACUGGGGUGGCGCUACUGUUGGCGGGUAGACCAGCACACCCUGUCACACUACGUACUGGUAGUGCUGCUGCCACCACUGCCACCAACUGCAGAGACCGACCGGAGAUGUCGAUCUGUGGGCGGCAGAGGGAAGGGUGCCUUGGCCUGGGACUUUGUUUUUCCUUUUUUUUUUUUUUUUUUUCUUUCUUCUUUCUUCGAAGUCCUUCUGCACUUGGGCCUAACCCUAAUUACUUGCUACUUGCCACUAAGGAAGGUCUGGACUGUUUUGUUUUUUUGUUUUGUUUUGUUUUGUUUUUUUCCCCAAAGUCCCCCUUCAGGGAGUGAUCGAAGGUCGCUUUUUUUUUUUUUUUUUUUCCCCCUUUGACAGGCAGAGCGGACAGUGAGAGAGAGAGACAGAGAGAAAGGUCCUCCGUUGCCAUUGGUUCACCCUCCAAUGGCUGCCACGGCCAGUGCGCUGCGGCCGGCGCACCACGCUGAUCCGAAGGCAGGAGCCAGGUGCUUCCUUCUGGUCUCCCAUGGGGUGCAGGGCCCAAGCACUUGGGCCAUCCUCCACUGCACUCCCGGGCCACAGCAGAGAGCUGGCCUGGAAGAGGGGCAACCGGGACAGAAUCCGGCGCCCCGACCGGGACUAUAACCCGGUGUGCCGGCGCCCCAAGGUGGAGGAUUAGCCUAUUGAGCCACGGCGCCGGCCCCUGGGUUGCCUUUUGAGGGCCAGAGGCCAGUCUACUGGAGCCCGUGUGUGUGUCGACCAGGUGGCAGAGGAGUGUGCUCUAACAGAGAUGGGUGGCAUUUUGGGGACAAGUGACCGGGUCCCCAAGCUCAGAGGUGGCUGUGUCCAGUGCAUCAGCCCCGUGCCCUCUCGCGUGGACAUUUUUAUACUUGGAGUUGUGGUUUUGGACCUGCAGGUAAGUGCUGACACGCUGUUCUCUGGUGACUGUCGCCAGAGAGAGGGGACUCCGGACGUGCGUUGGGGACACGGGGACAAAGUGGGCUUCCAGUGGGCUGGUGCUCGACCGUGCUCCUUUCUGAGAGCCACCUGCUUGGGCUCGCGCGGUGGCUUGUGUGCGUUCGUCCCGGUUGUCCCGCGACGGUGAUGCCACCUCCGGCCUAUGGUGCCCGAGGGCGGUGGGGGUGAGGCGGGCGUCGGGUCCUCUACCCGCGUGCGCUCCUUGCCGCUGGUGAGCCGAUCGCCUGGUGGUUGUGACAACCCUCUGACUGAAAGGACCUCGAUGAGGGGUGGCUUCAUGCCACACGUGUGCGUGUCAGGCGUUCUCCGCUGGGGUUGUCUACCGCCUGCAGUGGGAGGCGGGGGCCGGCGAGGCUGCAGCGGGCCCCACUGGUGGCUGUCCUUGCCGGGUCGUGCCCCCCGCCCUCACUCCACGUGUUAAAACUCCGAGCUGACUGUGACCGAUGUGGUGCUGUGGUGCUCUCCUGGGCCGGACCUAAGCUGCUCCAGAUGAGGGACGGCCGUUCAUGGCGAACGCUGCCGAGCCUCUCGUUCUGGCCUGCGGGCCCCUCGUUCUGC